GACGUUUGCAUGGAAACCAGAAAAAUGGGCUUAAGUCAAGAAUGCAAUAACCUCACUCAAAACUGCUCUCCAUGGCAGGCACUCAUCCGCUUCCAGCCGUUCUGCUCGCGGGAAGAUAAAUGGAGGGGAGGAAUCCUGGGCAUGGCUGCACGGGAGCGGGCUCACAACGCACUGGGUGAUGCACAACAGCUUUUCCAGGCACGUUUCUCCCCCUCCCUCCACGGAAAUGCACCUUGCUCUUCUCUUCCUGUCUUCUACUGUGGGACCGUCAUUUUAUCCACGUGUGGGAAUUUCCAUUACUGCUGGGGGAAAGGGACUUCUCCUCCUGAGUGA
rnacentral:lncRNA from 1 species